ACGGAAGGCAGCAGUGGGGAAUAUUGCACAAUGGGCGAAAGCCUGAUGCAGCGACGCCGCGUGAGUGAAGAAGUAUCUCGGUAUGUAAAGCUCUAUCAGCAGGGAAGAAAAUGACGGUACCUGACUAAGCAGCCCCGGCUAACUACGUGCCAGCAGCCGCGGUAAUACGUAGGGGGCAAGCGUUAUCCGGAUUUACUGGGUGUAAAGGGAGCGUAGACGGUUUGGCAAGUCUGAAGUGAAAUGCGGGGGCUCAACUCCUGAACUGCUUUGGAAACUGUCGAACUAGAGUGCAGGAGAGGUAAGUGGAAUUCCUAGUGUAGCGGUGAAAUGCGUAGAUAUUAGGAGGAACACCAGUGGCGAAGGCGGCUUACUGGACUGUAACUGACGUUGAGGCUCGAAAGCGUGGGGAGCAAACAGGAUUAGAUACCCUGGUA
rnacentral:rRNA from 1 species